AUUGAACGCUGGCGGCAUGCCUUACACAUGCAAGUCGAACGGCAGCACGGGUGCUUGCACCUGGUGGCGAGUGGCGAACGGGUGAGUAAUACAUCGGAACAUGUCCUGUAGUGGGGGAUAGCCCGGCGAAAGCCGGAUUAAUACCGCAUACGAUCUACGGAUGAAAGCGGGGGACCUUCGGGCCUCGCGCUAUAGGGUUGGCCGAUGGCUGAUUAGCUAGUUGGUGGGGUAAAGGCCUACCAAGGCGACGAUCAGUAGCUGGUCUGAGAGGACGACUAGCCACACUGAGACUGAGACACGGCACAGACUCCUACGGGAGGCAGCAGUGGGGAAUUUUGGACAAUGGGCGAAAGCCUGAUCCAGCACUGCCGCGUGUGUGCAGAAGGCCUUCUGGUUGUAAAGCACUUUUGUCCGGAAAGAAAUCCUUGGCCCUAAUACGGUCGGGGGAUGACGGUACCGGAAGAAUAAGCCCCGGCUAACUACGUG
rnacentral:rRNA from 1 species